UCCGCAAUACUUGUUGGAGGCUGAGGAAUUGGAACAAAGACAAUCGGCAAUGACUUAACCUCACCCAUCUGUUUUUCCAAGUGCUGCUCAGUGACAUUAAUGUCAAGUGAGCCGAUGUCUGUCUCCCUCACCCUAGUGCUCCGUACAAAGAACAUAUCGUCGCACUGCAUGUUCGGUGGUGCGCUCCCCUGUGGUUGCAGCGUUACGAUGACAUAGCACCUAGACCAUGGUGCCAUAACUCCUUGGUCCCUGUGUAUUUGGUACUUCUUCUUGUUUGUGUUUGCAUAGAACUCGACGAUGUCAUCUGACUUGUUUGUUAGCUGCAGUACGCAGGAUAUCGCCUUGUUAGUCUCGAAUGGGAAGCGUAGCUCUAGAGGGUCGAACCCAAGAAACUCCCUAGGCUCAGGUCUCUGCAACGAAGAUCCAUAGAGAUAUUACUAAUAAGUGACAUUUUUAGGGUAUCGAUCUCAUUCAUUUUAUCAACAAUAUCGCUUAUAGUAGGUCUUUUUGCUCGGUCUUUAUCAAUACAUCUUAAUGCUAUUUCAAGGCAUGUCUUCACUUGUAGGCUAUCUGCUUCCUGCGAUGCAUACCUCGAUGUUGCUGCAUGCAGUCUUUUCUUCCAGUUUCCUUGUACCUUCAAAAUUGAACAAUACAGUAGAGAAGUCAUUUCAGCACAUUUAGAGUAGCCCGAAGGUCCAGCAAUUAUAUCUAUGAUUAUAACACCUAAACUGAAUACAUCAAACUUCUUGGUGAUUUGGCGUCUUUCAAUGUAUUCUGGUGGCAUGUAUCCGCUGCAUAUGUCCCUUUAAUUUGGCUUGUGAUAUGGGUUUUUGUUGUCGCAAAGAAUCUUGACAGGCCCAAAUCUGCAAUUUUUGGUAUCAUGCUUUUAUCUAACAAUAUGUUAGAUGGUUUCAAAUCCAGAUGAUAAAUAGGAUUGCUGGACCCAUUGUGAAGGUAAUUUAAACCCUCGCAAAUCCCCUUAAUUAUCUUGUAGCGUGUGUCCCACAGAUUGAGCAAAAUCGUACCAGAAAUAUGUUUGUCAAGGCUUCCAAGCUGCACAUGUUCAAAGCAGAGAGCUCUUUCUUCAACGUUAGAAAAUACAAAUUCUCCGUUGCGUUCAAUAUGUUUCUUCUUUGUUUCAUAGCAGUAGCCAACUAGCCUUACGACAUUCUGAUGGUGGACUUUCAUAAGGUUAUUAAACUCCUUUUUAAACUGCACAUCAUCAAGACCAGGUAUAACAUAUAGCUUCUUCACCGCAAUCUCUUCUCC
rnacentral:sRNA from 1 species